AGCAGCCGCGGUAAUUCCAGCUCCAAUAGCGUAUAUUAAAGUUGUUGCAGUUAAAAAGCUCGUAGUUGAAUUUCGAGAUCAGUACGCUGGUCGUGCCUUUGGUAUGCACUGGUGUCACUGGUUUCUCCCUUCUGAAGAACUGUCAUGCCAUUCAGUUGGUGUGGCGGGGAAUCAGGACUGUUACUUUGAAAAAAUUAGAGUGUUUAAAGCAGGCUCGCGCUUGAAUACAUUAGCAUGGAAUAAUGAAAUGGGACGUUUGACCCUAUUUUGUUGGUUUCUAGGAUCGACGUAAUGAUUAAUAGGGAUAGUUGGGGGCAUUAGUAUUCAAUUGUCAGAGGUAAAAUUCUUGGAUUUAUUGAAGACUAACUACUGCGAAAGCAUUUGCCAAGGAUGUUUUCAUUAAUCAAGAACGAAAGUUAGGGGAUCGAAGACGAUCAGAUACCGUCGUAGUCUUAACCAUAAACUAUGCCGACUAGGGAUCGGAUGAUGUUAAUUUUUAAUGACUCAUUC
rnacentral:rRNA from 1 species